rnacentral:lncRNA from 1 species
GCCUCGCGCAGGCCUCCAACGCUAAGGUCGCCACAGUCUCUCUACAGUCUUCGUCAGCCCUGCGUCUCUGGUGUCCAGGGGCUUCAAGUCCCCUUGUCACUGCUGGUGAGCUCCUCCUGCGUUUGGACGCCACAGGCGACCUCAGGACAAUAUCAUUAUCCCUUUAUCCCAUUUUCCACUGCGCAGCCCAACCCAACAGCUUCACAACAGCACAGCUGCAUUCUCUCUCGCACUCUCCUCUGUCGACAAAUUAUAGUUUUAAAGCAGGCUCACAAGAUGAAUCCUUCCAAGUGCUAUUUGUGCACACCAGGAAGAGAAACAUGGUGCAUUAAGACUACAAGUCAGCCGGGUGUGGUGGUGCAUGCCGGUAAUCCCAGCACUCCGGAAGCUGAGGCAGGAGGAUUGUUGCAAGUUUGAGACCAGCCUGGGCUACAAAGUGAGCUCAAGGCCACCCUGAACUGCAUAGAGAGACCCUGUCUCAAAAAGGCAAAAGAAAAAAAAAAAAAAAAAAAAAAGACUCCAAGUUUCCAAAUAGCCUAGGUUUUCCUAACAUCAGUUUUGCAAACUUAAUGCACUCUAGGGUGUGGAACAGAGAAUUAUGACAUUUCAAAGACUGAUAAGUGAAUUUACUCUUGUCUCUGGGACCUUGAGUCUUCUGAACACAAUGAAAAAUAAAAUAGCUUAGCUUCAAUUGGAGGGAAUUUUUCCUUUCUAGAACUGUCUGGUCUUUUAGAACAAAGACCAACAAAUUGUGUGAUCUUGAACAGGUCUGAGUUUCCACAUAUAUAACAUUUAAAAAGUUGAUUAAGUGACCUCUAAAAUACGUUCUAAAUGUAAGUUUUACAUUCUGUUAGCUUUUCCGGUGUGAAUAACAUCAGGAGCAAGCUCCAUGCCCUAGGAAGGAGUGACAAUGCAAUAAACAUUUUUGAUCAUUUAUUGUGUCUUAGGCUUUGUGGUACCUCUGGAGUGGGGAACAAGUUAGACAUAAUCCUGCUAAUAGUCUAGAAAAGAAGGCAGCAAAUGAUUUUGACAUAAAGUAAUAACAAAUGUAGUAAAAAAAAAAUGUAAGGAAGGGAAUAGUAGAAGUUGAGGGUGGAUAGAGGGUAGGGUUUAUAAAAUGAGGGUGGGACUUGAGUUCUCAGCAAGGAAAAUCUGAGUUAAGUUUGUCAAGCAGCUGUCACACUGGGAUGGAAGAAAUUGUAAUGCGCCUUCAGGUACAUUUAUUAUUUA